GGUGCCUUGGAAGCUUGGAGAAUAGUAAAUGCAGCCCUGGCUUCACUCAGCAGAACCUGCUCAGGGCUUUACAAGCAAUUUUCAGACAAACUCAUCUGACAAAGAGCCUCCAGAUGCAGAGAAGGAGAGCUGCAGAGACCAGCACAUACAGAGGAAGAAUACAAGAGAUCCCCAGAAAAGGAAAGAGGAGGCUGAAAAGGAAAAUUCAGCGCCGAGGCAGCUUGUUUAUAUCACCUCAGAGAGUUGAUUGCAUGCUUAUCACACACAGCACAAAGCUCAGUUGUCUAGACAAUCGUCUAAUUGUCUUUACUCAGGAGCAGAGUAUUUGCUCUAGGGGAGAGGUCGGACACACGUCGGAGAGCUGCUGCCUUGGCUUCUCCUGGUAUUCGUGGCAGAGGACAGUUGUGUGCAGCUGAAAUUAUUUUACCUAAGGAAACUGAGCCCAGAGGCCUGCUGUGGUUGAUGGAAGUCUUCUGAAUUCCUAAGGGUCCCAAAGCGGGGUAAGUAAUAAGAAAGGUGGAACUGAGCCUGGAGGGUUGG